AUUUAUCAACAACCAUUUGGCUGCGUCUCGGUUCAUUUUCAAUUUAUAAGCACAACCAUUUGGUUGCAUGCAGGUUUAUUUUCAAUUUAUAAACAACCAUUAGACUUGAAUCUCACAAUUCAUUGCUCUGGCUUAAUUAAUAUUAGUAAUGAUAACAAUAAUUAAAUAAAGAGUUUAUAAUAAAUAAUAGUCGAUUCAUAUAGAAAUAUCUUUUUGUUGGCAACGAGAAUGAGAUUCUAGUAAUCACUCAUUAUGUGCACAGAACAUCACUUUCAAAAUCAGAAGAACACUAAGAUCGCGCUAACAAACGGUUACACGUAGGAAUAUAUAUGACAAAAAAGAAAUGACGACGAACAGAUUAUAAUAAUCAUUAAAAGACCUGGCGACCCAAAGUUUAUGAUUCAGCUCAUAGUUGACACGACCUGGCGGCAACCUUAUACUGGUUACUCUUAAAGGUUAAAUGAUGUGUAAGGUUAACACGACUCUCAUAAUUUCAUUUCAAGCUACUUUAAAAGAGGUUUGAAAAAAAAUGUUUGCGUAGACUCAAUCUGAUCAACUUGGGGACUACACCGCAAUAGCAUUCUCUUAUGCAGGCCUAACAAGUGCGGUAAACAAGCUUGUGCUUCGUCAAAUUCAUACGACCAACCAAUUAAUCGGUUUAUGAACGCCGGUUUAAAUUUAUUUAAAAAAAUUUUAUAUUUAUAUAUUUUAUUUAUAAAACUCAAUUUCGAAUCGAAUAUAAACCCCAAAUCAAGUGGAGUCCAACUUAUACGUAUCCAUAUGAUAGUCAAGAACAGGAACCGUGGUAUCGCAAUGCAGAUGGUUCAGCGUUGCAAAGCAGAACGCAAGCUUGAACCAGUGAAACCUCCCCGUGGAAAAUUUUCGGGUAAACAUCUUGCCGUUUAAUCCGCUGUUCUUUGACUAAACUUUAAUGAAGUUGGCUGUUAGCCAAAUAACAUGAUGCGCCAGUCAGCUAAAAAAAUAGAUAGAAUACGCCUUCAACUGCCGGAGAAAACACCGACCGGGAGACAUUGCUUGCGGAAAACUUUCCAAAAUGCAAUUGAAAAGAAAUUUCUUCAACCAGGAAGCCGGAUAUUUCAAAUUUUGUUUAAGGAUAAGGAAGCUAGCCUGGCUUGCUAAAAUGUAUUGUUAUAAUUUUAUAAUUAUGUGACAAGUUUUCUACAUAUGAAGAAUGAAAUAUAGAGAAAUCAAUUCAACAAGAGAAAGGUGGAAAACUUUAUCAUGUGUCUACUGUAGUUUAUGAAUGAUGAAUCGAUUUAAACAUGUCCCUCUACAUGGCGACUAGCGAAGUGACAGAAAUGUGUGAAAGAUGUUGUCGUUAGUAUAAGUCUAGCAUAAAUUUUUUAAGUAAAUACUGAGUGAGUUACGUUAUCAACAACAACAAUAUAAAUAAAUACCAUCUUUAUGCCUGCUACAAGAAAACAAAGUUACACCAGUUUCUGCAUACCUUCGUAACACCCAGAAGUGCGCAUCGACCCAGAUUCAGUAGUAGAUUGACGGUGUUGUGCCCAAAGCGGAGAACACACUUAGAAGAUAAAAUGAGAU